rnacentral:tRNA from 1 species
CGACGUGGCCUAAUGGAUAAGGCGCACCCCUCCUAAGGGUGAGAUUGCGGGUUCGAGUCCCGCCGUUG